GUAAGGAAUAUUGCUCAAUGGGAGAAAUCCUGAAGCAGCAACGCCGCGUGGAGGAUGAAGGGUCUAUGACUUGUAAACUCCUGUAAAGAAGGAAAAAAUUCCCAUUAGAUGGGAGAUGAUGGUACUUCUGGAGUAAGCCCCGGCUAACUACGUGCCAGCAGCCGCGGUAAUACGUAGGGGGCAAGCGUUGUCCGGAUUUACUGGGUGUAAAGGGUGCUCAGGCGGAUUUGUAAGUCAGAGGUGAAAUCUUACAGCUUAACUGUGAAACUGCCUUUGAUACUGCAAGCCUAGAGUAUGGAAGAGAGUGAUGGAAUAUCUGGUGUUGCAGUGAAAUGCGUAGAUAUCAGAUAGAACACCAAUGGCGAAGGCAGUCACUUGGUCCAUUACUGACGCUAAAGCACGAAAGCGUGGGUAGCAAACA
rnacentral:rRNA from 1 species